rnacentral:rRNA from 1 species
GAUGAACGCUGGCGGCGUGCCUAAUACAUGCAAGUCGAGCGGACGGACGAGAAGCUUGCUUCUCUGAUGUUAGCGGCGGACGGGUGAGUAACACGUGGAUAACCUACCUAUAAGACUGGGAUAACUUCGGGAAACCGGAGCUAAUACCGGAUGAUAUUUUGAACCGCAUGGUUCAAAAGUGAAAGACGGUCUUGCUGUCACUUAUAGAUGGAUCCGCGCUGCAUUAGCUAGUUGGUAAGGUAACGGCUUACCAAGGCAACGAUGCAUAGCCGACCUGAGAGGGUGAUCGGCCACACUGGAACUGGGACACGGCCCGGACUCUUAGGGGAGGCAGCAGUAGGGAAUCUUCCGCAAUGGGCGAAGGCCGGACGGAGCAACGCCGCGUGAGUGAGGAAGGUCUGCGGAUCGUAAAACUCUGUUAUGAGGGAAGAACAUAUGUGUAAGUAACUGUGCACAUCUGGACGGUACCUAAGCAGAAAGCCCCGGCUAACUACGU